UACAGAGGGUGCGAGCGUUGUCCGGAAUCACUGGGCGUAAAGGGCGCGUAGGUGGUGGCUUAAGCGUGCGGUGAAAGCUCGGGGCUCAACUCCGAGUCGGCCGUGCGAACUGGGCUCACUGGAGCAUAGUAGAGGCAGGUGGAAUUCCGGGUGUAGCGGUGGAAUGCGUAGAGAUCCGGAAGAACACCGGUGGCGAAGGCGGCCUGCUGGGCUAUGGCUGACACUGAGAAGCGAAAGCAUGGGGAGCGAACAGGG
rnacentral:rRNA from 1 species